AGGACUUUAGUUAAAUAAUAAUAAUAGUUUGUCAGGCUAUAGUAAUCCUCCGGGGUAAGUCCUG
rnacentral:tRNA from 1 species